rnacentral:rRNA from 1 species
UACGGAGGGAGCUAGCGUUAUUCGGAAUUACUGGGCGUAAAGCGCACGUAGGCGGCUUUGUAAGUUAGAGGUGAAAGCCUGGAGCUCAACUCCAGAAUUGCCUUUAAGACUGCAUCGCUUGAAUCCAGGAGAGGUGAGUGGAAUUCCCAGUGUAGAGGUGAAAUUCGUAGAUAUUGGGAAGAACACCGGUGGCGAAGGCGGCUCACUGGCCAGUUUCUGACGCUGCAGCGCGAAAGCGUGGGGAUCAAACAGG